rnacentral:rRNA from 1 species
UACGUAGGGUGCGAGCGUUAAUCGGAAUUACUGGGCGUAAAGCGUGCGCAGGCGGUUCUAUAAGACAGAUGUGAAAUCCCGGCGUACCUAGGACGUAGCGUUGUGACUGUAGGACUCGAGUGUGGCAGAGGGGGUGGGAAUUACCACGUGUAGCAGUGAAAUAGCGUAGAGAUGUGGAGGAACACCAGUGGCGAAGGCGACUACCUGGACUGAUACUGACACUGAGGUGCGAAAGCGUGGGG